AACGAACGCUGGCGGCAUGCCUAAUACAUGCAAGUCGAACGAACGUAGCAAUACGUGAGUGGCGGACGGGUGAGUAACACCUGGGAACCUGCCCAGCGGUGGGGAACAACCGAGGGAAACUUCGGCUAAUACCGCAUACGCCCUUACGGGGCAAGAUGUAUCGCCGUUGGAGGGGCCCGCGUCCGAUUAGCUAGUUGGUGAGUUAACGGCUCACCAAGGCGACCAUCAGUAACUGGUCUGAGAGGACGACAAGUCACACUGGGACUGAGACACGGGCCAGACUCCUACGGGAGGCGGCAGUAGGGAAUAUUGGACAAUGGGGGAAACCCUGAUCCAGCAAUGCCGCGUGAGUUAUGAAGGCCUUAGGGUUGUACAGCUCUUUCGCCCACGACGAUGAUGACGGUAGUGAGAGAAGAAGCCCCGGCUAACUUCGUGCCAGCCGCCGCAGUAAAAC
rnacentral:rRNA from 1 species